rnacentral:rRNA from 1 species
GACGAAGGUGGCGAGCGUUGUUCGGAAUCAUUGGGCUUAAAGCGCACGUAGGCGGCUCUUCAAGUGUCUUGUGAAAUCCCUCGGCUCAACCGGGGAAUUGCUGGGCAUACUGUCGAGCUUGAGGCAGGUAUGGGCGAGUGGAACUCUUGGUGGAGCGGUGGAAUGCAUAGAUAUCAAGAGGAACGCCGGUGGUGAAGACGAUUCGCUGGGCCUGUCCUGACGCUGAGGUGCGAAAGCCAGGGGAGCAAAC